ACGCUCGACACCUACGGGAGGAGCAGUGGGGAAUAUUGCACAAUGGGGGAAACCCUGAUGCAGCGACGCCGCGUGAGCGAAGAAGUAUUUCGGUAUGUAAAGCUCUAUCAGCAGGGAAGAAACUGACGGUACCUGACUAAGAAGCACCGGCUAAAUACGUUCCAGCAGCCGCGGUAAUCUGAGCGGGCUGGCAAGGC
rnacentral:rRNA from 1 species